UCCCGGUUAACCCGGGCAGUCUCGUUAGAGUUCCCACCUUUACGUGUUGGCAACUAACGAUAAGGGUUGCGCUCGUUGCGGGACUUAACCCAACACCUCACAGCACGAGCUGACGACAGCCAUGCAGCACCUGUGUAAUAGCUCCGAAGAGCAAGCCACCUUUCAAUGGCUUUUCCACUACAUGUCAAAUCUAGGUAAGGUUCUUCGCGUUGCAUCGAAUUAAACCACAUGCUCCACUGCUUGUGCGAGCCCCCGUCAAUUCUUUUGAGUUUCACCCUUGCGAGUGUACUCCUCAGGCGGCAUACUUAUCGCGUUAGCUACGACACAGUCGGGGUUGAGCCCAACUACAUCUAGUAUGCAUCGUUUACGGCAAGGACUAC
rnacentral:misc_RNA from 1 species